rnacentral:rRNA from 1 species
AUUGAACGCUGGCGGCAUGCCUUACACAUGCAAGUCGAACGGUAACGCGGGGCAACCUGGCGACGAGUGGCGAACGGGUGAGUAAUGUAUCGGAACGUGCCCAGUUGUGGGGGAUAACUGCUCGAAAGAGCAGCUAAUACCGCAUACGACCUGAGGGUGAAAGCGGGGGAUCGCAAGACCUCGCGCAAUUGGAGCGGCCGAUAUCAGAUUAGGUAGUUGGUGGGGUAAAGGCUCACCAAGCCGACGAUCUGUAGCUGGUCUGAGAGGACGACCAGCCACACUGGGACUAAGACACGGCCCAGACGCCUACGGGAGGCAGCAGUGGGGAAUUUUGGACAAGGGACGCAAGUCUGAUUCAGCCAUGCCGCGUGCGGGAAGAAGGCCUUCGGGUUGUAAACCGCUUUUGUCAGGGAAGAAAAGGCUCCUUCUAAUAUAGGGGGCUCAUGACGGUACCUGAAGAAUAAGCACCGGCUAACUACGUGCCAGCCGCCGCCGUAA